GGGGAUUUAGCCCAGCAGGCAUAAGCGCCUGCCUUGCAAGCAGGUGGUCGUGAGUUCAAUCCCUG
rnacentral:tRNA from 1 species